GAGGACUUUGUGAUGAGUGAUGGGAGCUAGUUACAGAUAUUGUUUUGGCUAUAGGGAAAGAUAAGGACUAGGUGCUGAGAUCUCAAGGUUAUAGAGAAAGAGAAGUACUAAGUGCAGGAGCACAAGUGUGCUGCUUUAUAAUAAAGCCCUGAGAACAGUUUUUGGUAUGAUUUGAUUGUCUUCAAUUCAUUUCUUGUCAUAGCAACUGCUUUUACAAUUUCAUUCGUCUUACGUUAUUUGUGUACACCCAUUUAUAGCUGAUAGGCAAAUAAAGACAUAACUAUAUAAGAGAUAAGUAAUAGAUUGAGGAAUUUAGCAUACACAAAUGAAAGCUUGUGUAAGGUUACACAUUGCCCUUUUGACAUGCACCAGCAGGUUUUUCCGGUUUAAAAAAAAACAAAAAACAUAUAUAUUAGUAAAUUAGUUAAGGAAAGAUUAGGUUAAUUAUCUAAUAGUUAAAAGAAAAUUACAAAUUCCAAAGGAAAAAAAGAAACUCUUCCAGAACAAUCCACGAACCAGUAAGGUUACACAUUGCCCUUUUGACAUGCACCAGCAGGUUUUUCCGGUUUAAAAAAAAACAAAAAACAUAUAUAUUAGUAAAUUAGUUAAGGAAAGAUUAGGUUAAUUAUCUAAUAGUUAAAAGAAAAUUACAAAUUCCAAAGGAAAAAAAGAAACUCUUCCAGAACAAUCCACGAACCACGGCGACCUUCCUCUUCUCCCAUCAACAACAGAAAUCCGUCGCCGCCCAUAGCC
rnacentral:lncRNA from 1 species